AAUCAACGCUGGCGGCGUGCCUAACACAUGCAAGUCGAACGAGAAAGUGGAGCAAUCCAUGAGUAAAGUGGCGCACGGGUGAGUAACACGUGACUAACCUACCCCGAAGCGGGGGAUAACCUAGGGAAACCUGGGCUAAUACCGCAUAACACCUACGGGUCAAAGCAGCAAUGCACUUCGGGAGGGGGUCGCGGCAGAUUAGCUAGUUGGUGAGGUAAUGGCUCACCAAGGCGAUGAUCUGUAUCCGGCCUGAGAGGGCGCACGGACACACUGGAAC
rnacentral:rRNA from 1 species